UGGAAUCGCUAGUAAUCGCAAAUCAGAAUGUUGCGGUGAAUACGUUCCCGGGUCUUGUACACACCGCCCGUCACACCAUGGGAGUCGGAUAUGCCCGAAGCCAGUGACCUAACCGUAAGGAAGGAGCUGUCGAAGGUGGAGCCGAUAACUGGGGUGAAGUCGUAACAAGGUAUC
rnacentral:rRNA from 1 species